GGAGGUUUCCGCAGAGCUCUUGCAGCACCGCCACUUCCGGGUCCACGGCGUGCCUGUGGGCAGGCGGGUGCUGCCAGCCGAGGCGCAGAGCGGGGGCUCCCUGGGCCGGCCAGCGGAGGAGGGCGCCGAGCCUCUCUCACGCGCGGGAGGGGCUCCUGCCUGUCACCUGGCCUUGCGGAGAGAGCGGCGCCUGGCCGACUGGAGCUUUGUGCCAUUGGAAACGAAGGAACGCUCGCAGCUCCCCCGCGAUGAGCCCAGUACCAGGGAGGUGGCUCCUGGGGUGAGGGAUCAGUUUUGGUUUUCAGCUUUCGAAGUCUCUGGAUACCUGAGCACGAUCCUCCAACUCCAGCUGUCACCUCUGAUAGUUUUUCCCUACACGACUGUACGUGAAGGCCUCGGCCGAAUAGUUACAAACAGGGAUUGCCUUUGCAAUAUUUCUAAAACUUCCCCUAACCCUUGACUUGAUUGGCUUUCCUGUCCCCGUUCUCCAAGGCAGAUGGAGAGAGUGGCCCCUGGCCCGACUUCAGGAGCUACCAGAGCAGCAAAGGCAUCAACUAUUUUUUCCAAAAGAUUCUAACAAUAAGUAAGAGUGAUGAGCCAGGUGAGACCACAAGCGCAUCGCCCAGAGCUAAUCUGCAGCCUCUCCACACACCUAUAAGCCAGGACUGAAGAGGGAGAGAGGGAAUAGAUGUGAUUGAACAAAAUUCGCCUUACGUUUAUUACUUGGAUGCUAGUGUUCUUUGGAAAAGCAAACAAGCAAAAACAAAACUGCAAUAGUUUGAGAUUAAAAUUGUGUCCUCUGUG